UACGUAGGGUGCGAGCGUUAAUCGGAAUUACUGGGCGUAAAGUGCGCGCAGGCGGCCGAGCAAGUCGAGUGUGAAAGCCCCGGGCUUAACUUGGGAAUUGCGCUCGAAACUACUUGGCUGGAGUGUGGCAGAGGAAGGUGGAAUUCCAGGUGUAGCGGUGAAAUGCGUAGAGAUCUGGAGGAACACCGAUGGCGAAGGCAGCCUUCUGGGCCAACACUGACGCUCAUGCACGAAAGCGUGGGGAGCAAACAGG
rnacentral:rRNA from 1 species